rnacentral:rRNA from 1 species
GACGAACGCUGGCGGCGUGCCUAAUACAUGCAAGUAGAACGCUGAAGGAGGAGCUUGCUUCUCUGGAUGAGUUGCGAACGGGUGAGUAACGCGUAGGUAACCUGCCUGGUAGCGGGGGAUAACUAUUGGAAACGAUAGCUAAUACCGCAUAACAGUAGAUGUUGCAUGACAUUUGCUUAAAAGGUGCAAUUGCAUCACUACCAGAUGGACCUGCGUUGUAUUAGCUAGUUGGUGGGGUAACGGCUCACCAAGGCGACGAUACAUAGCCGACCUGAGAGGGUGAUCGGCCACACUGGGACUGAGACACGACCCAGACUCCUACGGGAGGCAGCAGUAGGGAAUCUUCGGCAAUGGACGGAAGUCUGACCGAGCAACGCCGCGUGAGUGAAGAAGGUUUUCGGAUCGUAAAGCUCUGUUGUAAGAGAAGAACGAGUGUGAGAGUGGAAAGUUCACACUGUGACGUAUCUACCA